UACCAGCACCCCGAGUGGUCGGGACGAUUAUUGGGCCUAAAGCAUCCGUAGCCGGUCAUGUAAGUCUUCCGUUAAAUCCAGCCGCUCAACGGUUGGGCUGCGGAGGAUACUACGUGGCUAGGAGGCGGGAGAGGCAAGCGGUACUCAGUGGGUAGGGGUAAAAUCCUUUGAUCCAUUGAAGACCACCAGUGGCGAAGGCGGCUUGCCAGAACGCGCUCGACGGUGAGGGAUGAAAGCUGGGGGAGCAAACCGG
rnacentral:rRNA from 1 species